GGCCUCUCAGCGGCGGUUUGUUUGGUUGCUGGCGUCCCUGAAACAUCUGAGGAGAUAAAAUGGCAGCUGGAGCUGCCAGCUGAUCGAUUAUGGACAUCGAGGCCUACUUGACCUACGAGGAGGCUGCAGUGACGGCAAGUAGGCCGCUGGAGUGCCAUGUUUGAAAUUGCUGCGUUGGUUAUUCGAGCAGCACACAAGGAGAGACCCGACCAUGGCCUCUCAGCGGCGGUUUGUUUGGUUGCUGGCGUCCCCGAAACAUCUGAGGAGAUAAAAUGGCAGCUGGAGCUGCCAGCUGAUCGAUUAUGGACAUCGAGGCCUACUUGACCUACGAGGAGGCUGCAGUGACGGCAAGUAGGCCGCUGGAGUGCCAUGUUUGAAAUUGCUGCGUUGGUUAUUCGAGCAGCACACAAGGAGAGACCCGACCAUGGCCUCUCAGCGGCGGUUUGUUUGGUUGCUGGCGUCCCCGAAACAUCUGAGGAGAUAAAAUGGCAGCUGGAGCUGCCAGCUGAUCGAUUAUGGACAUCGAGGCCUACUUGACCUACGAGGAGGCUGCAGUGACGGCAAGUAGGCCGCUGGAGUGCCAUGUUUGAAAUUGCUGCGUUGGUUAUUCGAGCAGCACACAAGGAGAGACCCGACCAUGGCCUCUCAGCGGCGGUUUGUU